UUAGAGCCCUACCUGCUGCAUAUGGGGGUUCCCAGGCUAGGGGUUGAAUCAGAGCUGAAGCUGCUGGCCUACUUCACAGCCACAGCCACGGCAAUGCAGGAUCCCAGCCGUGUCUGCGACCUACACCGCAACUCAAGGCAAUGCCGGAUCCUUAACCCACUGAGCAAGGCCAGGGAUCGAACCCACGUCCUCAUGGAUCCCAGUCGAGUUCCUUAACCACUGAGCCACAAUGGGAACUCCGAAAGUCAUUUCUUUCAAUGGCAUUUCCAUAUUGGAAGCCUAAUUAAUUAAGGAUGUCAGCUUGACUUUUUUAUCGGCAGGGGUACCAUCCUGAUUCAAACACUAAACAGUUUCAGGAAAGAUUAAAUUUGUUCCUGACCUGAGAGGAAUCCCAUUUUCUUCAUGACAAGCUCUGCUGACACAAUGGCCUGGGAAACCCUGCACACCUGCUACCGUUGUAGGUGGAUUUCCUCCUCAGGUAAGCCCCAGAUUCCAUGCAGUGGUGUGUUUUUUUCUUUUUUCUUUCUUUUUUUAAUCCUAAGCACAUUUUAUUAACUUCAUAAGCAUCAAGUCUUACUUUACUUUUCCCUUCAAAGUCUUGCAGGCUCCAUGAAAUCUUUUCCAAUGUCUCCAGCCCACAAUGACCGCUUUCUUCAAACUCCUACUUAGUGUCACAUAGUUUAAUACUCAAUUGGUCUCUAAUUACAGUAAUUAGAUUGUAAGCUCCUCAAAAGCAAGGAUUUUAGCCCGAAGCUAGGCCCAGAGGCGGUUUCAAUAACUGCUUGCUGAGUGAUGGAUUUGUAACUCUGGAUGGUUUCCAGCCAGCAGGACAGACGGCUGCAUGAGUGCUGCCGGGAGAACCCCUCUCCCCGCUUCGGCUUUCAGAGCAGGCCCUCUGUCUGUGGGGACUUCGACAAAGGCCACGGAUUGCUGCCAGGCAGCUGGGCAGCCCGAGGAGCACGCCCUAGGCCCCUGAUGAUUUCCUCCAGCUCCUCUUUUCUCGUCUGGAAACCUACAUGUUGCAAUUUCCCAUUUCCAGGUUUGAGACAUCAGCAAGAACAAGCAGAAGAGGUAGACGUCUCAGGUGGGCUUUGCUGGUACCUAACUUUCCCGUGGAGACAUCACAUCACAAAUGAAACGAGGACACGUUGCACAUUUCAGAGCGAGUGACAUGCCGUGUGGAGACUGAUUUCUAUAACCCCUUUUGCCAGAUUCGUCCAGAAGCUGGACUAAUAUUUUAAUCGUAUUCUCUUCAGAGGAAAAGGCAGCUGGUGAAAUUGUUGGAGGUGACAUGCCAAUCUACAUAGAAACCAAGUGUGGUUUGGAGACCACCAUGGAAAUAAUAACUUGAGUCAUUAAGUGGAGAAUGAAAGGAAGAAAGAAACCAGAUAAGUUUUCCAGGAUCAAGAAGUUGUUUUUAUUAUAAACUAACCUUAGGGAGACCAUAGGCUUUCUUAUUAUUUUAACAUUUAAAUUCAAAUACUGAUGGCUUUAUCUUUUCACUGCUGAUUACUCUUGGCAACAGCAGAGUUAGCAAGGAGGGCAGUGGAACAUCUUUCAACUUUUUAUUCUCGAGUUGCUGUUUUAAUUGUGUGUGUAAGCUCAGUUGUGCAGGCAAAGCGUGGCAAGGAGCCCACGGUGUCAUAAUUUGUGUCUUGAUAUAGGAUUUCUCUCUUCUUGUGAACUUGGCUUCCCAAGGCCUGAAUUCUAAUAGCUGGUACAAAUUCACUGGCAUCCUAAAAUCUAAAGGAAGAGGCCCCUCUCUGUCCCUCCCUCUCUCCCUUCUUCCCCUGCCCCUUUUAUUUCCUUGUAGACUUGGAUGAAACCAAAUCUUCAGAUCUUUACAUUGGUCUGCCCUGAGCCCUAGCAAUAAGUGUCUGCAGUACAACAUGUGGAGCUCUGGGAAAUACAAUCUUUUGCUUGGGAACUGCCCUCAGAUGGAAAUGGAUGUUUAGAUUUUUACUGGGAAUUUGUUUGUUCUUGUGAAUUUUGUGGGAUUAGGGUUGGUGCUGUGAUGUUCUCAUGUGCUCUGAUGACCCUUAGGUAUUUCAGAAAAAAGGAAAAUGAGAGUCUUAGAUCAAAUUUUGGAGGUGCUAAAGCUCUAUCCAAUUAUACUGGCAGAUGGUUCAGGGUGCAGCUGCGAAGAGAAGAUCCAAAAGUCCACACAAAGGCACAAAUACUACCUCUUCUGCCUGGAAGUGAGUCAGUGGAAGGAAAUAGGGUAGGGCAUAAUUUUGGACUGAAAUUUCUCUGUGGCAGCAACAGAUUGAACUGAUAAUAAGAGAAAGUUUGUAUUGUUAACUUUUAUAAGGUGGCAGUCAAUUUCAGGAAUUUUACAGUGCUGGCAUAUUAUUUGGGCCAUAUUUUCAUCUGGUGCUUACCGUUCACCCUGCCUGGUUGGAGAGUUUAGCUGAGUGGAAUCCAAGAGGAGAAAGAGAACCAGGGAUGAUAGUGGCCUUGGGGCUAAUGUAAUUAAUGUUCUGACCUGUUCAGCAGCUUUUGGAGCCCACAGCCUAGAGGCAUUCAUAAAAGCCUUGAAGGGAUGAAGUAGCCACGUCUUUGACUCCUGGAGGAUGUGGGGGAAGUGGCUCCAUGAAGGAGACGAUUAGACUUUUUUGGCUUCUCUCCUGAUCUCCUUUCCUGAAGAGGAUGUCAACUCUCGGAGGAGACUGUGGCUCCCAUGCUGAAUUUCACUGGGUUAAUAAGAGAAUAGCCAAAAAAAAAAAAGAAUGUCAGUGUCUAAAGAGGGAAAGUCACUUGUCUAUUCAUGAUACUGGUUGGUUAGGUAGAGAGCAUUGAUUUGUCUUUGUACUAAUAAUGGACAGAACUACAGAACUACUGUGCAAAGUCAGAAGUCACUUGGACACUUUCUCAGGUGAGGUGAGAUGGCUUGGGAACUGCUGAGAAACAUCACUCUUGGCAUUCCUCUAAACCUUGUAUCUUCUCUCUCAUGAAUGCGGCUUUUCCUCACAUUGGAGUGUAAAGUCUGAGAUUCCGUUUUGGACUUAGGACGGAUAUAGGGAAUUCGAUACGAAGGGGCCGUUUUGUCUCCAGGUGUGGGAGGCACACCUGGCUUAGACAAUCUAGGACCUUGCCUCCUUAGAAAUGGAACUGACAGCACAGACCCACCUAGCAAGGGCUGCUACUUAUUGACUUUAAUUGCAUGUCAGGCACAGCUGUAAACACUUUGCAGCUCUUGUAUGAUCCUUGCUGCACUCUCUGGAGGUUACUGUUCUUUUUCCCACUUAUGGAGUGAGUUAAUGUAUACUGAGCUUAUUUAUUUAUUGGUUUAUUUUUUCAGAUUUUACAUUUAUUAAGUGAAGGAGAGAAUUAAUGUAGGUAGAGUUUAGUGCACUCAAGAUCCCAGAGACAGUAAAAAGCAAAAGCAGAAUUUAAACUCUGGAGCUACAUGUCUUCCUCAUUAUACUGAACUAUUUCAAGAAGAUUACCCAAAUAGGAAAAGAACCAAAGGAUGAGGACUGUUCUCCCCUGCCCAGCCCUCUGCUGGAACAAAACUCCAUAACUCGGGUUUAUUCAUGAGGCUAGCCUUUGGCUUCUCUCAGUAGGUCAUGAAUUUGAAUGUCUUUUUCUACUCUGUGUGUGUGGUUUUUUUGUUUUGUACUUUAAAAAAUUUUAACAAGAUAAAUAUCCUAGAAGGAAAAGCACUGUUUUACUUAGACAAAUACAUCCCAGAAUAUUUACAGGCUUAAAAAAUACCAUUGGAUCAUCUGCCUGGUUCUUUACAAAAGCUGAAAGUAAAACUGCAUGAUUUGGUAAAAACUUUUCAAUGAGACAGGUAUUGUAAGGAUCCACAGAUGAAUUGCAUAUUCUGCAAUUGUUUCUCCAAAAUAAAAGUACAUGGUAUCGUUUUAUUAUUACAAUUAUUAGGUUCUGUACUAAGUGACUUAGACAUAUUUUCUCACAUUGAUAUGCAUGCAUGUCAUAGUUACUGCUAUCAGGUAUCAGUUAUCUAUUGUCACAGCAAUGUUACAUAACAAAAUCCCACAAAGCCUCAGUGGCAAAAGCAAGUAUUUAUUGCUUAUACAGGUAGGUUGACUGGCGAAGUGGAUCUGCCAACCUUGACUGGAUCAGCUCAUGACACCAGCUCUUUGGAUCACUGAGACUGAUCUAGCCUGGCCUUAGCUAGAAUAAACAAGGCAAUCCAGCUCCUCCAUUUUUCUCUCAUUCUCCAGCAGGCUGGGCUGGACCUGUUCUGUCGGUGACUGCAAGCUCUGAUUGCAAGCUCCACACAAGCCUAACUGCAAUGUGUCGGCUAAUGGAAAGCAAGCCAAAUAGAUAAAUGUGAGGAUGUGGAAUUAUGCGCUGCAUCCCAUGGAAGAGUAUUGGAGAAUAGCAUGGCAAAAGUUUUGGAGAUGUGUCUUCAGGGCAGAUUCCUAGAAGUGGGAUGGCUCAGUUGAGAGGUUUUACAGGAAUACGUAGUUCCAGUUUUUGUUGUAUUCAGGAGAAAGAAAGCACGGUGUGUUGAGGAAGAGGAGUCUUCUUCGUGGCUCCUCCAAUUCAGGAAAGCCUAAAUUGGAUGCAAGAGAUGAAAAAGGCUUCAGCUGCUUCUAUAGAAGUUACUGAAAUCUUCAGGUAAAAUACCAUAUAUUCUGGCCUUUGAUUGUGUUCUCUUAAACCCUUGUGUUUCAUGUGUGUCAAGUCUUGACCUCUCCAUAGCACUUGAGCAUUUGAGGUCAGAGCUUUGCCUCCUAUUUCUUUUGUGUUAUUCUCUCUGAGUCCCUAGUAGGUGUUCAAAUAUACUUGUUUAAGGGAAAUGAACUGUUAAUGUCUGAUGGCAAUUACCAUUGUCAAACAGUUUGAUGUUAGGGUUGGUGUCAUUGAUUCAUCUGGACAAUCCCCCAAAGCAAUUCCUAAAGCCCUGGUGAAUUAUUUUAUUUGGUAAGGUAAUUUACUCAAUUAUUCUUAAGCAAAUCACUUUUAGUUUUCUUAACUCAAGUAGAUCGCUCUAUUGGUCUUAUUUUCUCCCUGUUCACAAUUUCCCCCAAACAUCUGUCUGUUUAUCUGUAUACUUCUCUAUUUUCCCCAACUUCUAUCUUCCAAACUUCUCUCUAUCCCCAAACAUCUGAACCUUUGACUUUCAGAGGAUGUUGCCUUCAUUCCUCCAAACAGUUUCUGGCUACCGUGUGCUCAUUUGUCUGGAGUUCUUGACCACAGUGAAGCCACUUGUAUUUGUUUUGGAUGCCUGCCUACCCAGACUUGCAUGAUUAUUAUAUUUACUAUCA